rnacentral:RNase_P_RNA from 1 species
GACCGCGGACGGGGGACCGCUCUUCCCGCAAGGGAGGGGAGGAACUUCCGAACUUCACAGGGCAGGGUGCCGGUUCAAGGCCGCCCCGCUUCCCCGCAAGGGGAAAGGGGCGGACAUAGGCCGGGCGGCCGGGGCCAUAUCCCCGGCUGACGGACAGCGCCACAGAGAACAUACCGCCCCGCACCGUGGCUUCAAUCCUUAGGUUGGGAACGGUAGUUUUAGUUCCCGGCUUCGGGACACGGGCCACGGUGCGGGGUAAGGGUGAAAAGGUGCGGUAAGAGCGCACCGCCCGUCCUUCAAGGGACGGGGCAGGGCAAGCCCCUCCUGAAGCAAGGCCAAACUUGCGCUACGGAUAGCCCGUCCACGCCUUAGGGCGGAGCGCAGAGUGGGCCGCAAUAGAUAAAUGGUCCCCCAAGCGCCGUAAGGCGCCGGACAGAAUUCGGGGUACAGUCCGCGGUCUAAA